GCCUAAUACAUGCAAGUCGAACGCGUUGGCCCAAAUUGAUUGAUGGUGCUUGCACCUGAUUGAUUUUGGUCGCCAACGAGUGGCGGACGGGUGAGUAACACGUAGGUAACCUGCCCAGAAGCGGGGGACAACAUUUGGAAACAGAUGCUAAUACCGCAUAACAACGUUGUUCGCAUGAACAACGCUUAAAAGAUGGCUUCUCGCUAUCACUUCUGGAUGGACCUGCGGUGCAUUAGCUUGUUGGUGGGGUAACGGCCUACCAAGGCGAUGAUGCAUAGCCGAGUUGAGAGACUGAUCGGCCACAAUGGGACUGAGACACGGCCCAUACUCCUACGGGAGGCAGCAGUAGGGAAUCUUCCACAAUGGGCGCAAGCCUGAUGGAGCAACACCGCGUGAGUGAAGAAGGGUUUCGGCUCGUAAAGCUCUGUUGUUAAAGAAGAACACGUAUGAGAUUAACUGUUCAUACGUUGACGGUAUUUAAC
rnacentral:rRNA from 1 species